UGUUUUAAUCAUGAUUGGCCUAUCAAGUGAAUGAAAAAUAUGUAAGGAACAGAGAUCAAGAGACUUCACCCUCGUCUAAGCAAAGCUACAGUUUACCUCUCUUCUUUCUAUUUCCUUCCCCCACCUUCUUACCUACUAUGAACCACACCCACUUCUCCAAAUGGGGUUGCUGCAAUGCCUCCUCUCUCCAUUGAAGAAGCUCUGGGUUCGUCUGCACUCAGCUCAGAAAAAGAGAGGGAUAUACAUCCUAUAUGAUGAUGUCAUGUCCUGCCCUUAUGAAGAUGUUCAUGUCCUGUGGUCGAUCUUGGUGCAGUCAGACACACCUGCUUUACCAGUAAAACAAUGAACACUGGAAGCCCUGCAAAGAAACUACAGAAAAGGAGGCUUAAUGUAUAUACUACACAUACUUAAAUCUCAUAGAUAUGCUCAUCUGUAAGCUUUUUUUCUUCCCCCAUCCGCUACCGCGGAGCCAGUUCCUUAUUUUCUGAUCUGUAACUAGAUUUUUAGCAGAUGGGCUACUUCUAAAAUAUGUUGUUUCUAAUCUCAUGAACUUAAAUUGUUACAUGUUAGUAUGUUACCAUCCAAAAUUAGUUUUUUUUUAUGAAUAUUUUAUAUCCUUCUUUCUCCAA